UACGUAGGGUGCGAGCGUUACUCGGAAUUACUGGGCGUAAAGCGUGCGCAGGCGGUCUGUUAAGUCCGAUGUGAAAUCCCCGGGCUUAACCUGGGAACUGCAUUGGUGACUGGCAGGCUUUGAGUGUGGCAGAGGGAGGUAGAAUUCCACGUGUAGCAGUGAAAUGCGUAGAGAUGUGGAGGAAUACCGAUGGCGAAGGCAGCCUCCUGGGCCAACACUGACGCUCAGGCACGAAAGCGUGGGGAGCAAACAGG
rnacentral:rRNA from 1 species